UCUCGUCUGAGUGUGCUGGGGUGUAGACUUUAACUGAUGAAUUUAACGAACGCUCAACACCCGUUGAAUAUGACCGGUGUCAGUAACGUUGGCAAAAAAGCUUAAUUAAAUUGUUGCCAGUAGCACAGUUACAGUCACCAACGCUCUGGAUAACAUGAAACCAGCUCUGCUAAGGACUCUUAUUACAAGUCCCAGGUCCUGAGAAGUAAUUUUUUCUAAUUCAACGGCUUCCUCAUAGUCAUGUUUGGAGCAAGGCCGCAAUGGAACAGAAUAUUGCACUUUGGUGGAUCUUGACUGUGAAAGCGGAGAGCAGAGCACUGGCGCACAUGGAAGGUGUCGCUUAAGAAAAUCCCAGCAGCAGCUUUGGAACACAUAUGACACAGCUCAAAGAAGGAUGCUCUUGGACUGGCUGGAUCAGCAGUAGGGGACACAGAGACCACAGGAAGUAGAGGUGGAGCCCGAAACCACAGACUUUAUUUCAAAUGUCUUUAUCCAAUAAAACAAACUCCCCCAUCUAUUCCAUGCCUCCCCUUGUACUGCAACAACAAUCAAAUCAGUUAAGUAAACCGGUUGCAUUUUUAUCAUAUCUCUCAUUUUGAGUUAAACUUAGACUGUUAUUGAUGCUAAUCAUUUCAAUCUGUUCAAAAUUAAGAGGUUUAUUUAAAAAGUGUUUUUAGGUGUCAAUGUGCCAAAAUGCAAUUGGAGAAAUAUUACAAAAUUAGUACUGGAGUGAUGCUUUUGUAUGAUGGAAUGAGGCCCAGUAUCAGACAAGAGAGGAACUACUCACUCUGUGAGCUCAAAUACUGUAUAUUGUACUGUAUCUUGAAGGAUAGGACAAUAUCCUGUGGCUUUAGAGGGCUAUAGAUUUUUAAUUGUAGAAAUAUCUUCUCAGGGGAACAUCAAUGUUCUGGCUUAAUAACUGAUUUUGGCAUGGAUGAUGAUAUUUAUUGCUCAUCCAGGUCACUGUCUUUCAUAACAAAUGACAAGUGAACACAAAUGUUUUUGUUGGUUUGUUUUUUGGUGCCUUUUCUUCCUGCUGCCAAGACAACCCAGACAAAGCCAUUGGUCCAAUCACUUUGUGAAGCACCGAUUGUGCUCAAUGAUCCUUGCAACCAGUCUCUUGGUUGAUGAGAGGACUGGACUAGAUUAAUAGACUGUCCAUUUCAGGGGAAACCUAUCCAUCUCUAUCAGCAUUUAGAACAAUUAGUGAAAACAAAGCUGAAGCUCUUUCCUCAGAUAUCGGGUCAAUGCCUUUCGUUACGCAAGUGUACACUUACCCUAGCCCGAUGUAACACACUGAGUGUACAAAACAUUAGGAACACCUUCCUAAUAUUGAGUUGCACCCCCCUUUGCCCUCAGAACAGCCUCAAUUCAUUGGGGCAUGGACUCUCCAAGGUGUCGAAAGCAUUCCACAGGGAUGCUGGCCCAUGUUUACUCCAAUGCUUCCCGCAGUUGUGUCAAGUUGGCUGGAUAUCCUUUGCGUGGUGGGCUAUUCUUGAUACACACGGGAAACUGUUUAGCGUGAAAACCCCACUAUCGUUGCAAUUCUUGACACACUAAAACUGGUGCGCCUGGCAUCUGCUACCAUACCCCGUUCAAAGGCACUAAAAUCUUGUCCAUUCACCCUCUGAAUGGCACACAAACAAUCCAUGUCUCAAUUGUCUCAAGGCUUAAAGAUCAUCCUUUAACCUGUCUCCUUCCCUUCAUCUACACUGAUUGAAGUGGAUUUAGUCACCAAGAACUGAUAUCAGUAAGGGAUCAUAGCUUUCACUCAGUGCACAAGUUACAGUAUGCUCCUGUGUUUUGACUGCAGCUGUACAGAAGACCCCCAACCUUACUAACAACAAUAUGCCCCGAUGCAAACACUCGAUUGAUGCAAGCCCACUGCCUUGGGUGUGAGAAAAGUGCUUUACAAAUUCAAUGAAUUAUUAUUACUCAUUUCUCUUUCCCUUCUCAUGCUCUUUCACCACAUGGCCAUGCCACACUUCUCAGGCGGCUGGUCAAAGAGAGACUACACUUGCCAUUGACAGAGAGGGGACAAAGGGACCCCUGGAGGAUCCCCAACCACAGGAAAUUUGCUCUAAUAAGGCAAAAACAAAAUCUCAGCCUCAUGGCAAAAUGUGUAACAACAAAUGUUCUCUGUCUCAUGGCAGGGUGUGUCGAAUAGCAUGAGUUUAGCAAUAAAGCUGCACUUUUUUUCUUUGGCCCAUGGCAAAUUUCAAGGAAUUUAGCUGUUUUAUUUUUGGGUUGGACCCGAAAAUCUGAGCGGUAGAUCUCAGUUUGCAUUUUGAAUCAGAAAGUGAUCUUGACUCAGAAAAGGUUGGUGACCACUGCUCUAGUGUUUGAAAGGACCCGAGGCAUAACAUUAAUCCAGUGAAGAAGAAUCAAUGGGAAGAAGAAUAUAAAGUCAAUCGAAGAGACCAGCUCCAUCCAAAGUGUUUACAUGCUAGCUGUGUUCCAGCACUACUGGGCCACCACUGUGGCUCUUUGCGUUUGACAUGGAUGCCCCACUGUGCUGCCCCCAGAACCCUGAACUGUCUGGCUUUAACAUCCAGGAGCUUAACAGGGGGGCCAACAUGCCUCCGAGCACCAUGUUCAACUCCACUCCAGUGCACUAACACCAGCCUGGUCUCAUAGGCUAGAUGUAACAUAGUAAAUUUAAAUCCGGCACACUCAAAUUAGUAUGGUAUGGUUACAUGAGACAGAAGGUUACUUAAGGCGAAAACAAAAGUUGGAUGGUUUGGUGGCGUGUAACACAAAUGUCUAGCAACCCAAAUAUUGCGUGAUCGAAUCUCAUCACAGACAACUUUUGCAUUUUAGCUAAUUAUAAACUACUUACUACUUUUUAGCUACUUUGCAACUAAACUCAGCAAAAA